rnacentral:lncRNA from 1 species
GUUAUUGGAGUUCUGGAGAGUGUGCUGGGUUUUGUGCUCAGCUCCGUGUCUUUCAGUUUCUCCUUCCAGCUGCUGCAAUCACAGCAGGUGUGAGUUGGAAGUUAUCUCGGCUGCUUGUGAUUCAGUUAAUUGAUUCCCUCAGCGUUUCUACCAUUUCAGUUAUUUCAUGGCUAGAUCUUCCAGCUUGUCACCCUUUUGUUCCACCUUGGUUCAGGAACGCAAGUGUUGCUACAUCUUGUUUGGAGACAUUACAUCUCCAUAGGGAAGGUCAAGUUGGGAAGAACUUUGAGGAAAAAGUAAAAGAGGUCAAGGAACAGUGAGAGUCACGAAGUAACCUUGAGUUGGCAUCCAUCGAUGAAACCCAGCGUGUGUUCCGUGGUUUGUUUCAGAUCCUAUUGCAGAAGUAAUCUUUUCAUCCAAAACUAUUUUGAUUUUAGAAAUCGCUUGUAAUUCAUUGAAGCCUUAACUCCCU